GCCAAGAUGGCAGAUUACAUGCGCUAGGUUUAAGCUCUAGAGAUGAGACUUUUACUCUCUUGGUA
rnacentral:tRNA from 1 species